GAAGAGCUUCCAGGUCGAGGUUACUAAGACUCUUCCCCACGUGCUUCACGAGAAAGUAGCCUUUAACUGUGGAAAGGCGACCGACGGGAACGGGGGAGGGGGAGAGCGGUAGCAGCCGGAGGCACAAGCUCGCGGCAGACCUCUGUUUCUCCAGCUCUUGUUCUGCUGAGGUGACAUGAUCGGAGGACCCUGCGGAAGGCCAGAGACUUUGCUCUGUGGGAGGGACCUUCUGCAAGGACAGAGAAGGGAAACGACAGAAGUGACAUGGGGACAGAAACUUGGUUGGAAGUACGGAAGUGUUCAAAUGGGGUUUUAGCAGAUUUUUCCAUGUGAUAGGGAAUAUCAGUAGUGCUUUUGCAAUGAGAUCUGCUUUUCUGACAUCUGAGAAAAUGACCUCAAGGUACAGCAAGAACAAAAUGGCCUGGACAUUUGAGUUACAACACUUUUUUUACUUUCUUGUCAUUCUUUUCUGUUAUCCCUAAGCCUUCAAAUAAAAUGUUUCAGAUUUCUUAGUUAUAUUUUGGGGAAAAAAGGGAGAGGUUUGUGUCCAUCUUUGGAAUUUUUAGACCAGUUGGAACUGAGCUACAGAAGUAGGGUGCUAAGAGUUUGUGAGAUGUGAGGGCACUCCAUGAGGAUCCUCACCUGUACUCAGAGACAGCAGAUAAAAGCCUGGAAUCCCUACAGUUCCACGGGAUGCAAGAGUUUGUCAUUUGGGUAUCAAAGAGCAGCACAAUCCCAGACAACUGGCCAUGGUAAUACACUAGGCCGGUGGAAAACCUCAGGGCUGCAGGUGAAUCCAGAACAGGGAGGAGUUGACAGAUGACGCAUAAGUGGGCAGAAGUGAAGAGGGUCUGUAAACAAAUGUGGAACCAAAUUAAAUUGGGGAAGAGGGCAAGUUGAAAAGAGCAGUUUGGAAAGGUCGCGCUUCAGCUCUUUGCGUUUGGAAAGAUGAUAGAGGCCACUGGCGGGCCCCCAACCCGUCCUUCGUUUCUGUCCCAGGGGAAAGGGAAUUCCUGGUUCUAUACAUGCCAGAUCUCCUCUUGUCCACACACCAUCAGCUAUCAUUUCUAAGCCCCCUCAGUUCUUUCUUUGCUGGCUCUGUUCU